rnacentral:rRNA from 1 species
AUUGAACGCUGGCGGCAGGCCUAACACAUGCAAGUCGAGCGAGCGGCGGACGGGUGAGUAAUGUCUGGGAAACCGCCGGAUGGAGGGGGAUAACUACUGGAAACGGUAGCUAAUACCGCAUACCAUGAGAUGUGCCCAGAUGGGAUUAGCUGGUAGGUGGGGUAACGGCUCACCUAGGCGACGAUCCAUAGCGGGUCUGAGAGGAUGACCAGCCACACUGGCACUGAGACACGGUCCAGACUCCUACGGGAGGCAGCAGUGGGGAAUAUUGCGCAAUGGGCGCAAGCCUGAUGGAGCCAUGCCGCGUGUGUGAAGAAGGCCUUCGGGUUGUAAAGUACUUUCGGCAGGGAGGCGUUACCCGAAGAAGAAGCACCGGCUAACUACGUGCCAGCCGCCGCGGUAAUUC